GUUUCCAUUGUGACUGUUAACUGCAGAAACCCAGCCCAGAACCGAGGAUCCCAGGAUCUGCAUGUUGCAAGUGAUACCAAAGAGCUAUUAUCUUCCCAACAAAAGUCUAAGCAUCAUUUACCAUUGUUGUGGGACUUCCCUGGUGGUGCAGUGGAUAAGAAUCUGCCUACCAAUGCAGAAGACACAGGUUCGAGUUCCCUGGUCCAGGAAGUUUCCACAUGCCCCCUGGAAACUAAGCCGGUGUGCCACAAGUACUGAGCCCAAGCUCUAGAGUCUGGCAGCAGCACCACCCAGCCCAUGCACUACAACUACUGAAAACUUUGCACCCUAGAGCCUGUGCUCUGCAACAAGAGAAGCCACCAUAAUGAGAAGCCUGCACACCGCGACGAACAGUAGACCCCUGCUUGCCACAACUAGAGAAAGCCUGAGCACAGCAAGGAGGGCCCAGGGCAGCCAAAAUAAAUAAAUAAAUGGAUAAAAUUAUUAUGAAAGC
rnacentral:lncRNA from 1 species